GCGGGACUUGGCCGGGUCCGCCUCUCACCCGGCCAGUUGCUCUUCCUCCAGAGUUCCGCGACGCCAGCCCCAGACCACUUGCGCAGUUGGAUCGCUUCGUCCCGAGGGUCCUCGACUUCCCCAAAACCACAAGUGGCCCCCUCUUUCCCGACACUUCCAGGUCAGUGUAAGUGACAGUUCGCUGUACUGAAAACAAGAUUUAAUGAGAGUCUCCAUCCCCAAAGUAAAGCUUAAGCCAACAGUUGUGGGAAGAACAAUAUUGGAUUUUGGAUUCUAUAGUUCAGAGAACCACCAAGGUCCUCAUCUUUAGUUACUAGCUGUCUGACGUUGGGUUCUGCCUGAUCCCUGAGUCUUCUGUCUGGAGUUCCUCCUUGCAGAUACCUUCUUUGGAGCCAUUUGCAGGCAGUUUCCAGGCUUCAAAACUGGCCCAUCCUAUCAGAACCCUUCUGCUCAGAGUUCCUUUCCCGCAAAGUAGUCUGCUUUCUCAGAUGUUAAUAGAUUCUGAUAGCUUAGGAUAUCAUCCUUUAAGACGGAUCCAUUAAAUGCAUGUGCCCUUUAAUAAAAUGCCUUAGCUGAGAGAAGUCAAUCUCCAGUAGUGGGGAAUUUGUGCCCAAUAAGAGAGCUGGAGCACUGUUUCUUCAUGGCAUGGAAGCCACAGAAGCAUGAAGACUAUAAUCCCACCUUGUCUACAGUUGUCCAUUGAGAUCAAGACAGGCCAGUUCCUCUUUACAAAUCCUCUCUCCCUGGUGUUUGUACACCAUUUCACAGUCUACAAAGUGCUUUCACAGAUUUCCCAGCUUAGCCUCCAACCAUUCCGUGAAAUAGAAAGGGAUCUACUCUGAGUGUGCCUUCUAAUACUCAGAAACAGCAACACACACCUGGAACCCACAGCAACGGAUCACUGGAAGACAAAAUGCACAAGAAUAAUAUUUCACCCGGCAACGAGGACUGAGAUUUGCAAAUAAAAUGGCUGGAGGAGAAGGAGCAUCCCCAUCACCUGGAAAUUGUUUUAUUAGGCAGCAGCUGGGUUUUCAACUCUGUUAGUUGGAUUUUUGUUUGUUUUCAAACUUUUCAGGGAUUGUUAGCCUGAGGUCCAUUGGUAGCGUUCAACGUGAUUCUGGGUGAAAAAAUUAAAGUUUUGUUUU